ensembl:lncRNA
GGGCAUGCAGGUGGGCUGCAGAAGACAAUACAGUUGUAUAGAACAACACGGGUGGGGCAUGCAGGUAGGCUGCAGAAGACAAUACAGUGGUAUAGAACAACACGGGUGGGGCAUGCAGGUAGGCUGUAAAAGACAAUACAGUGGUAUAGAACAACACGGGUGGGGCAUGCAGGUGGGCUGCAGAAGACAAUACAGUGGUAUAGAACAACACGGGUGGGGCAUGCAGGUAGGCUGCAGAAGACAAUACAGUGGUAUAGAACAACACGGGUGGGGCAUGCAGGUAGGCUGCAGAAGACAAUACAGUGGUAUAGAAC